ensembl:lncRNA
GUGUGCCUGCGUGUGUACACAUGCAAAUGUAUGUGUGUCUUGAAUAUGUAUGUAUGUAUGUUUGUGUGCACACACUGAAACUCUUCCUCUUUCAAGACCUGAGGUUCCCUGCAGCCCCUGUCACCCAGUAACAUUAUAUUCCCUGCAGCCGAGCGCCUUUCCUCCUUCCCUGGCCUCAUUAGAAGCCGCUGAUGUGCCCGGCACCCUUAAAGAUGGUAACACGACACUAGCUUUUAGUGAACAAUAACCCACAAAAGCAGAUGACAUCAGCCAGCAGAAACAUCACAGGGCCAAGGCGAGCUGCUUGCUGUGUGGGGCUUAGCGUUGCAGGACAGCACGGGCAGAAACCACACACAUGUGCAGGGGGGGAGGAACGGCUGCACAGUACUCGCCAGACAGCUGCCCAGCUGCCAGGAGCCACUGGCAUGGCACAGCGCGGUGCCAGCAACACUGCUCUGGGGAACAAACAUAGACUAAUUGCAGGAUAGUGGACCUGUGCAAGUUUGUGUUUUUCUUUUGCCUUUUUUUUCCUUUUUUUUUUUCCUCCUUUGGUCAUGGUGGUGAUUUGUACAUGUGUAUUUCACUGCGGUGCUAUGCUUGUGAGGCAUCUGAGGGAACGGUAGCUUCCUGGCUCCUCUGAGGGAGUGGGGUAUGGAAGGUAUCUGCUGAGGCAAGACUGCCAGGACCAACGAAGGGGCCGAGAGCCAGGAGUGUGUAGUCUCGAGUGGGGGCUGCUGCACGUGCUCGUGCUCCACGGCUUUUUCCUGGCUGCCUCGGCCGAACUUCACCGCAACACAUGCUAUAAGAUAUAAGUGAGUUCUUUUAAUAAAAUCGGGGUAUUUCUUUUUUAUUUUACAAACCGCUAUUUCUCAUUACAGAAAACACAAAAAUUUGGCUCUGGUGAAUCCUGCAGGCUGCAGGCCUCCCGUCAUUUGGCGGCCUGUUUUUCCUUAUUAAAGAGUCUUACAGGUAUUCUUAAAGCAGCAGACUCCUGUACAGAAAGAAACUAUACAAAAAUCAGCAGAAAUCCAAGUUUGAAUUUUUUUUUUUACUAAUUGACGUUUUUUGUUAUCCAACUGCACAUUUUAAUCCACUGUUGCACUACUAUAAACAAUUCUAAUUACAUCACAACAUUCUUUUUACAACCAAAUGUUCUGCCUGCUUCUUUGACUUCUGCAUUUAAAAAUGCAUC